UGUCCAAUGCCACGUCGCCGGUAGCCGCUAGGCGUUGACCGGUGAUGCUAUGAUUGGACGGAAAUCGAUUUUAUGUUUCGCUUGCUGAUAGGAACCUGUAUAUCCGGAUUUCAGUUGAUCCGCGAGGCCGAUUUCGGCGACCAAAUUU